rnacentral:rRNA from 1 species
GAUGAACGCUGGCGGCGUGCCUAAUACAUGCAAGUCGAGCGAACAGACGAGGAGCUUGCUCCUCUGACGUUAGCGGCGGACGGGUGAGUAACACGUGGAUAACCUACCUAUAAGAUUGGGAUAACUUCGGGAAACCGGAGCUAAUACCGGAUAAUAUAUUGAACCGCAUGGUUCAAUAGUGAAAGACGGUUUUGCUGUCACUUAUAGAUGGAUCCGCGCCGCAUUAGCUAGUUGGUAAGGUAACGGCCUACCAAGGCAACGAUGCGUAGCCGACCUGAGAGGGUGAUCGGCCACACGGGAACUGAGACACGGUCCAGACUCCUACGGGAGGCAGCAGUAGGGAAUCUUCCGCAAUGGGCGAAAGCUUGACGGAGCAACGCCGCGUGAGUGAUGAAGGUCUUCGGAUCGUAAAACUCUGUUAUUAGGGAAGAACAAAUGUGUAAGUAACUAUGCACGUCUUGACGGUACCUAAUCAGAAAGCCACGGCUAACUACGUG